GGCUAAGUCAUAAAAGUUGAUAUGGCUUACCUGUGGCUCUCUCAGGAUGCCUGCUUUUGGAAGUUGGUCACUAUGUGGUGAGAAGCAUGCUCCUUCUUGUGAUUUGUCCCCACACACUUAUCUUAAGUAAGAGCCAUAGAGAGGAGAGUGAAGCAGGAAGAGACUUAGAGGAACAUGUAAAGAAGAUGUUUUCAUGAGGUGACAUGACCCUCAAAUUUCACACCUACUCAGCCCAGUUAAUCUUUGGAGAGAGAAGACAGAAUGAGUGGUAAAGAUCUAUGCAGUAAUUAAGAGAUUGUAUUUACCAGGA